GCAGUCGCCACGGGAAUACGGAGGGGGCUAGCGUUGUUCGGAUUUACUGGGCGUAAAGGGCGCGUAGGCGGACUGAUAAGUCAGGGGUGAAAUCCCAAGGCUCAACCUUGGAACUGCCUUUGAUACUGUUUGUCUUGAGCUCGAGAGAGGUAAGUGGAACUGCGAGUGUAGAGGUGAAAUUCGUAGAUAUUCGCAAGAACACCAGUGGCGAAGGCGGCUUACUGGCUCGAAACUGACGCUGAGGCGCGAGAGCGUGGGGAGCAAACAGGAUUAGAUACCCCUGUAGUCCCUGUCUCUUAUAA
rnacentral:rRNA from 1 species